AUCAGGAAGAAAGCUUGCUUUCUUUGCUGGCGACCGGCGCACGGGUGAGUAACACGUAUCCAACCUGCCCUUUACUCGGGGAUAGCCUUUCGAAAGAAAGAUUAAUACCCGAUAGCAUAAUGAUUCCGCAUGGUUUCAUUAUUAAAGGAUUCCGGUAAAGGAUGGGGAUGCGUUCCAUUAGGUUGUUGGUGAGGUAACGGCCCACCAAGCCUUCGAUGGAUAGGGGUUCUGAGAGGAAGGUCCCCCACAUUGGAACUGAGACACGGUCCAAACUCCUACGGGAGGCAGCAGUGAGGAAUAUUGGUCAAUGGGCGUUAGCCUGAACCAGCCAAGUAGCGUGAAGGAUGAAGGCUCUAUGGGUCGUAAACUUCUUUUAUAUAAGAAUAAAGUGCAGUAUGUAUACUGUUUUGUAUGUAUUAUAUGAAUAAGGAUCGGCUAACUCCGUGCCAGCAGCCGCGGUAAUACGGAGGAUCCGAGCGUUAUCCGGAUUUAUUGGGUUUAAAGGGAGCGUAGGUGGACUGGUAAGUCAGUUGUGAAAGUUUGCGGCUCAACCGUAAAAUUGCAGUUGAUACUGUCAGUCUUGAGUACAGUAGAGGUGGGCGGAAUUCGUGGUGUAGCGGUGAAAUGCUUAGAUAUCACGAAGAACUCCGAUUGCGAAG
rnacentral:rRNA from 1 species